UGAGGAGAAACAUCAGGUACUCGAAGUAACAAGAAGUGACGAUGUACCACACUUUGUACUGAUGAGGGUUUUUAGGGAUGUAGCAUCUCAGAGGUCGGGCCUUCAGUGCGUACUGGACACACUGACGCUGCGAAAGUGACGAUAACGAAGCCCACAAAGAUGUUCAUCAUGAAGAAGGCGAUGAGGAUGAGCAGGGAGACACCGACAACAAUCAGGUCCAGGAUGUUGAAAGAAUUACGGCAGAAAGACCCUUUGUGUAAGAAGGCACCAUACGUGGUCAUCUGCAGUGGACAAAGAAGCAUUGAACCAUUCACAGAAUCAAAACGCAACAAAACAGCUUCAAACAAACUGAAGCGUCAUCCCACCUUCAGAACGAUCUCAGCGGUAAAGACUGAAGUGAAGACAUAAUCAGCAUAGGCCAGGACCUGGAGCACAGUAAGAAAGGUAGCUGUUGAAGGCAACUGUAGGAACAAGUAGAUGAAGGCAAGCCUAGAGAUUGUGUACCUGGUUCCUGAAGGACAUGGGGUCGAUGGGGUCUUCUGCAGCCAAUGAGAUACUGCUAAGCAGGAUGAAGAGGAGGAUGAUGUUGGUGAAGGUUGUAGCAUUGAUGAUGCGAUGGCAGAGUUUGCGGAACCUGAGCAGGAAAAUCAAAAGAAACCCUAAUUAACAGUAGCAAUGUUUCAAUCAACCCUACUUUUCUUAGUGAUGUUUAGUGCUGGUUUAGACUGUUGUGGUCCACGAUCACAAAUGUUUUAUGCAAUAUUCAAUUUUUGUUAAAUUUGGAUCUCUUGGACGAAACCCAGCUAGUAAAACUCCCAAUAUGUAUGAGGGGUGAUGAAAAUGCAGGUGAGAUUUUACUUGUUCUGUGGGCCGAAGAUGAAGAAGGAACUGGCCUCUGGCAUGGGUACCACUGUCUCCUUCAGUUGCAGGUCUGCCAUUGGACGAGGCCGAGGACUGAGGGGAAUAUCUGGCUCCUCCUCCUCAUCGUCACCUGCCCAACAAGUCCAUCAAAAUGUCAGACUGACCUAACGGUGGUUUUGACCUUGGCUGUGGUGGGAAUCCCAUCAGUCUUGGCUCUCUGCUCAGCUAGUUUCUUUGCCAGCAUGGCCUUUUCUUCCUCUGCCUUAUCAGCUCCAGGCCUAUGAUGGCGUAGAUGGUGACCAUGAAGAAGACCAGCAGAGAGAUGUGGAACAGGGGCAGCAUGGAUUUGAGAAUGGAGCUCAUCACCACCUGCAGGCCUGGAGGAGACAUUACACUUGAACCUGCCAACUCGAGAAAUGAGACAGUCCACAACAACAGUGAACAACCUGAGAGGCAUCACACAACGUCAAAUUUGGUGGAAAUGUGAUGAAGAGAUGCUAGAGCCUGACACUUUCCUCCGGUUUCAGCUGAGGCAGUUUGAAAACGAUCCUGGC